GCGAAGUUUUUCUGGUGCUUGCACUAGAAAAACUUAGCGGCGAACGGGUGAGUAACACGUAAAGAACCUGCCUCAUAGACGGGGACAACUAUUGGAAACGAUAGCUAAUACCGGAUAACAGCAUAAAUCGCAUGAUAUAUGUUUAAAAGUUGGUUUCGGCUAACACUAUGAGAUGGCUUUGCGGUGCAUUAGCUAGUUGGUGGGGUAAAGGCCUACCAAGGCGACGAUGCAUAGCCGACCUGAGAGGGUGAUCGGCCACACUGGGACUGAGACGCGGCCCAGACUCCUACGGGAGGCAGCAGUAGGGAAUCUUCCGCAAUGGGCGAAAGCCUGACGGAGCAACGCCGCGUGAGUGAAGAAGGAUUUCGGUUCGUAAAGCUCUGUUGUUAGGGAAGAAUGAUUGUAUAGUAACUAUAUACAGUAGAGACGGUACCUAACCAGAAAGCCACGGCUAACUACGUGCCAGCAGCCGCGGUAAUACGUAGGUGGCAAGCGUUGUCCGGAAUUAUUGGGCGUAAAGCGCGCGCAGGUGGUUUAAUAAGUCUGAUGUGAAAGCCCACGGCUCAACCGUGGAGGGUCAUUGGAAACUGUUAAACUUGAGUGCAGGAGAGAAAAGUGGAAUUCCUAGUGUAGCGGUGAAAUGCGUAGAGAUUAGGAGGAACACCAGUGGCGAAGGCGGCUUUUUGGCCUGUAACUGACACUGAGGCGCGAAAGCGUGGGGAG
rnacentral:rRNA from 1 species